GUUUUAUAUUUUUUUUUUACGGAAUUAGUUAUAAUUACCAAAAUGAGAAUUUCUAUCCUACACUAGGGUGUAUACCCCCAUUCAAUCAAUAAUUGAUGUAUCACUAAAAUGAUAGAAGGAAAAUUCAUCACACAUAAAUAAGUUAACAAAUGAAUUGGAGCUAUGUAGCUUCUCUCAUUUUCCCACUCAUACUUUCUUGAAUGCCCAAGAUCACUUGUUUCCAUUUUCCUAGCCUGGAGGGAAUGGCAUAUCAAUAGUUACUGUUAAGAAACUAUGCUAUCACACAAGACAAUAACUCCUCCUUUGUAACAAAUAUUUGCUGGCUUCUUUGUCAGUUUACUCGUGGACUUACCAAAACGAAUGCUCCCUUGGUGGAAAACAAUCCAGACUGAAUCAUCAGAGCUCAAACUAUACAUAUAUGUAAUAAUUAAUAUUAAAAGAUUGAUAUUAUGUAUGUUGACUGUAUGUAGGAAAUAAAUGAUUAUAAUCAGUUGGGUGGUAAGUGACACGUAUACUCAUUUGAUCCGAGUCAAUCCUAAGUUGUUCAUUUAUCUUAUUAAUGUUUCAAGCGUCUAUAAUUGCUACUGUUGGUGGCAAUCAUUGAAUAUGAUAGUGGUGGUGGCCUGGGCAUAUGUAUAGACGGUGAUGGUUGUAGAGAUGGAUGUGGUGGCAAUGAUACUGUGCUGAUCAUGAUGGAAAAGGUGAUUGCAAGGUGGAGGAAGUACUGACGGCAAUGACAAUUGUGGGGUGGUGGCAGUGGCGGCUGCAAUAGUAGCAGGAUUAUGGUGGUAGUGGUGACUGCAUGGAAUGUAGGGAAGUAGUCAUAGGACAAAAUUUUGAUUAAUAGCUAAAAUGGGUAUUCAUAUGCAACCCUUAUUUAUCCAAGCCGUACAUUAAAUGGAUUGAUAUAUAGUUUUUUUUUUUUUUUUCUAAUCGUGCAAAAGGGUGAGUGUGUGUGGGCAAAUAGAUAUAAAUAAAAAUUGACACCUCUAAUAAUACAUGUUCAUAAUUAAUAUGCAUAUGGAUUGACGGCUGCCUAAGUGAUACCAUAAACAUUUGCAUGGAAUCAAAAAGAGAGAUAAAUAUUGGCUCAAAAUAUAAAAUUUGGGUCAAUCUUGGUCACUACUUUCAUUGCAGUUGUUGAUCGCCUGAAGCACGGCCUGUUUCACCACUUGAGAAUCUAAGCUAUCAGCAUCCCCUUGGUACUGCAAGAAUUGAGAAUGUUUUCUCUUUAAUGGAAUAGAGAUUAAUUAAUACGUGAAUUAGCAAUUGCAAAUUGGAUAAUCAUUGAAUUCCAAUACUGUCCACCCAAAUAUAAAAUUAUAAAAAAAUUUCCUUAACUUAUGUGGUUCUCACCAUAAGUGCUUGUGAAUUUCACAGGUUUUUUUUAUUAUUUCCCUAUUUAUUUAUUUGUAAGGACUAAAGACAUACAUAUCCAUAUUCACAAACAUAUGUAUUGAGGAAAAAAUGCAAAGCCCUUUGCAUUGAAAUAUUUAAAGAAAAAAAAAACAAAGAAACAACAGCUAUUUCUUACUUCUCCUCCAACUGCUUCCAGUUGAAAAUUGUCUUCACAGGAAACCCUAGCAUCAAUCACUUCAAGGCCUAGUUCUUCGAAGGCUUCCAAUAUGGAAACAAGCAAACCUGGGCAAUUCUUUUCUGACAGCACAUUAAUAAGGAAACCCUUUUCUAGGGUUUCCACUGUAACCUGCAUAGGUAAUUGAUUUUGGGAAGUCUCAGCUAGUUGUGAAGUUCCUAUCUCUUGGUUCAGCCUUUCCACUUUUUCCUUCAACUCUUCUAUAUAUUUAGAGGCAUCUACAACAAUUGAGGUUUUAUUCAUCUGCCAAAAUCAAAAAAUUUCAGAAAGAAAAUAUCAAACUAGCAGCAAUCAAUUCAAAGAAAAAAUAAAAACAUCAUCACCAUCGGUAUUUUUUCACUUUCAUGAUCAUCACAAUAUAAUAGCUAGGUUGAUCAGUUUGUGCAAGUUCUAGCUAUCUUGUUUUGCUUGCAAGUUUUCAAGAUUUAAUGUUUGCGAAAGAAAGAUUGUGAACAAAAGGGGGAAAAAAAGAAAUGAAUGAUCGAGUGAUGAGAGACGACAUAAAAGCUUGAAGAUUUAUGGUAUUUACAGCAGUAGAGUUGGUAACAUCACGGAGCAAUUGCAGCUGGUCAUAUAGAGCAGCCUGCUUCUUUUGCUUCCGAGAAGCCAUGUUCGUGACUCUUAUCUUUAGCUAUAUCUCAGCUGCCUUUCCUUGCCCUUGAUUUUUCACCACAAGCGUAAGAGGGUUUUAUAAAGACAGGGGAUGACCUCUCCACCCUAUGUGAUUG
rnacentral:misc_RNA from 1 species